UACGUAGGGUGCAAGCGUUAAUCGGAAUUACUGGGCGUAAAGCGUGCGCAGGCGGCUUUGCAAGACAGAUGUGAAAUCCCCGGGCUUAACCUGGGAACUGCAUUUGUGACUGCAUGGCUAGAGUGUGGCAGAGGGGGAUGGAAUUCCGCGUGUAGCAGUGAAAUGCGUAGAUAUGCGGAGGAACACCGAUGGCGAAGGCAGUCCCCUGGGCCUGCACUGACGCUCAUGCACGAAAGCGUGGGGAGCAAACAGG
rnacentral:rRNA from 1 species